rnacentral:rRNA from 1 species
GUGGGGAAUAUUGGACAAUGGGCGAAAGCCUGAUCCAGCCAUGCCGCGUGUGUGAAGAAGGUCUUCGGAUUGUAAAGCACUUUAAGUUGGGAGGAAGGGCAGUAAGUUAAUACCUUGCUGUUUUGACGUUACCGACAGAAUAAGCACCGGCUAACUUCGUGCCAGCAGCCGCGGUAAUACGAAGGGUGCAAGCGUUAAUCGGAAUUACUGGGCGUAAAGCGCGCGUAGGUGGUGUUGUAAGUUGGAGGUGAAAUCCCCGGGCUCAACCUGGGAACUGCCUCCAAAACUGCAUGACUAGAGUACGGUAGAGGGUAGUGGAAUUUCCUGUGUAGCGGUGAAAUGCGUAGAUAUAGGAAGGAACACCAGUGGCGAAGGCGACUACCUGGACUGAUACUGACACUGAGGUGCGAAAGCGUGGGGAGCAAACAGGAUUAGAUACCCCUGUAGUCC